UCUUUGGUUGGAGGUUAUGUUAUGAAUGUUUCUUGCUCUGUGGUCUUAGGAGAUACGCAAAAAAAUUCAAAACUUUGAUUCAAAAGAAUUUCAAAUUUAGCUGACUGUAUCAUCAGUAACAGAGACACAUAUGAAUCGUUCUGAUGAGGUUGCAACUGCUAAUCGUCUAUAUGGUGGAAGAAUUCUACAAUAGACACUGGAGAGGCGUUUAUUUCACUAUUGAAACGGAAUCAAAUGAUAUUAAUAAAAUUGCAUCCAUUGGUACAACUUUCAACCAACGCAAAUGGUAGAUUCCUUGUAUAGGUCCUCCUCGAUUUUUUAGAGUCGAAAUUAAAAUUUAUUCUUGGAUCUUAGUUACCUUCUUCAAAGAACGCUAAUGCGCCUGCGCGUCCACCUUAUUGCGAUACGAGAUUCAAAAACAGUUGCCAUAAAAUAGUUAGCUUUGGGCGGACAUUUGCAAUUUCUCGAAUUCUGCAGUGAUUUCCUACGAGUUUCCACGAUUUUCAAUGAAUUUCCAACAAAAUGUAAGUUGAAAACAAUAUAUUUUCAUUUUAACAUCAUUAUUUCAACAAAAAUUACAUCUUGCAAGUUUCACAGUUGGUUAUUGCAAAAUAUCCCAAACACAAUUCUCCACUUUCUGAUAUCGAUUUGAUUCUAUUCAUUGGUUAUUUCUUUCAGACAAAAAAAAAAUAAAUUCCAGAUUAUCGGCAAACCAGAACUUUCCCCAGGAAAUUAUUUCAGGAUGGCUUGCAAUGAAAACAGGGAUGGGGAUUUCUAAAACUCGUUGAGCUAAUUUUAUUGCAGAAGCCUGAGAGAAAAUAAUUAAGUCUACAUGAACAAAAUCAACUAUAUAUACUUAUAAUGAAAAACAAUAUAUUCCAGAUUAUCGGCAAACCAGAACUUUCCACAAAAAAUUAUUUCAGGGUGGCUUGCAGCGAAAACAGGGAUGAGGAUU